UGUCGGUGUUUAUACUACAUUUUUUUACAUUUGCCUUGAGAGAAUCUUUGAACCUCUCUUGUUGACCACCAGCAUUACGCUUUCCAUUCUUAAGUUGGGAAUAGAGUAGUUGCUUAGGAAGACGAUAAUCUGGCAUCUGCACAACAUGACCAGUCCAGUGAAGUUGAUGUUGAAAAAUCAUUCCCUCGACAUUGGUGAUAUUUGCUUCUUCCAGUACACUGGGUGUCAUCUAGUGUUGGUUAUAAAACACGCCCCAGACUUUGUAUGGAAAGGGAAUGAAUGAACACCUGACUGUAGUCUUGUUGAUUUGGUUGGGGUAGGGAUGUCAGAGUAGAGUAUGAGAGCUUUUGGACCGGAAUAUCAAGCAAGAUUCAUGAUGAGUCCAGAAGCCAUCGGCUAGGCAGCGUUAAGAUAUGAUAACGCACAAGGCCAGAGUAGCAGGCAAAUAGUGACUGCUGUUCAUUGCUGCUCACUUGCUUUUGCUUUGUUUUGUACGGCAUUUUGGUAAAAAGAGUUGAGGGGAGCGGAGUAGAGAGAGAAGCAGGCCGGAGCACUCUAGGUUAGGGAAAUGAUGAUAAAUGGUCCAAUUAGCAGUGGAAGCAAGAAGCUAACGUAGAUAACAAAAGCAAUGAUCAGACAAAGCAGUGGACACAUCUGGAAUAACUUGGAAACAAGACGAAUGAACAGGCAAAUAAUAGGAUGACGGUGUUUAGAGAGGACUUUCAGUGAUUGUGCAUUGAAUGAUGAAGUGUGAGAUGGCUUGACCGCAGCUGGAGUAAAGAUGCAACAUUUCCAAAUAUGUUGAAGUUGUCAGGAAAAUAUGUCUCUCCCACACCACUUAUUGUGAUGGGGUGAGAGUUUAUGAGAAAAUUGAGAUAUAUUCAACAAGUACUAUCUGUGACAAAGUGCUGCAGUGUGGCGUGUCCCAUUCAGGGCUCCCUAUCAGCUAGCCAUGCCCUUUCCAGGGUACUCCAUUCCAUCUCACUACCCCAAAGUUCACCACCCUCCUUUCCCCCUGAAAUGUGCUCAGUUAUCAUGUAGCUGUUUUGGGUUUAAGACCUUUUGCACACGAAGCUGGUGCUUUUUCACUGAGCUAGCCCCCCUUUAAGUGUACAUAAGUCUGAUUACUUGCAUAAAAUAACACACGGAUUUGUAGAUGGUGUGACAUAUAGGCAUGUAUGCACUUGCCUCUUUGCAGAAAUCAUGCAGUUCUGAUGUGGUGCUAUUAAAAUAGUACUUAAAAUAGUUACAAAACUAGAGUGGGUAAAUCACAGUAUUCAAGAUUCUUCAUUUCAGAUAUUGCAUUACAAUCUGACUUCCAUCUUCCAACUGCCACCACAAAUUAAUAUGGCAACUGAAAGUAUAUUCUAACUUCAGAGAAAUAUGGAGGGGGGAAAUCAUUCCAAUAUCUCAAUUUUCAAGGGAUGUAUUACAUUGUGAUGAGGGAAAAGAAGAUCAAAUAUGAAUGUGAUGUCCUGAAGAUGAAUGCCAACUUUCAUUCCAGUAUUUGAAAGGUUGCAUUAUGAUACCUGUCAGAACAGAAAUCUAAGGUGACUGAAAAAGGUGAGAAGUAGAACUGAUAUUCAGAGUUGAAAUGCUGAACCUUACAAAAUCUCAUUCUGGUAUAUCAGUUUUCAAGAGAGUUAUUGAACUACAAACAAGCAGAAUACCAAACAGACAAGUUAAAGGCUUUGUAUUGUUUGUGCAACAAAGUUUCUGAAUUAAAGCAAAACAGGAUUGUGAACAUCAAUGGUGGUCAUGUUUAACAACAAAUCCUUUGAGUGAUACAUAUGUUCUGUGCAACAUGUUCUGUGGAAGAAUCAAGAAAAGAGUGUGAGAAAUCCUUUGCCUUAUCAACAGGGUGACCACUUAUUAGGGAUGGGGAAGAAAUUCGAUUUAAUUUACAUUUUAAUGUGAACCCAACCUAAACCAUACUUCUCAAAAAAAGUAUACAAACUGAAAUAUAGCCAUCCUUCAGAAAUUGUUCUUCUCAUAAUUUUCUGUGCAAUUCUCCAACCAUAAAAUACAUAUAAAAGGUGUAUUUGUGUAAUGUGUUCAUAAAAGAAGCAUGCAUUAGUAAAAAUAGCACCGAACAAUGCAUUUUGUUAGGUAAAAUCCUUGGGAAAACUUUAUUUAUUUGGCACAGUUGCAAACAAAUAUAUAUAAAUCAUGAGCUGCAUUUUAGAUUGGAAAGGUAAGAAACUGAAAUUGAUUUGUCCAUCUCCACCAUGUGUGCUGUGCUAAAGAAAAGAGAGGAAAUGCAUGACUAAAAAGAGAGAACAUAGAUUACCAUAAAAUUUGCAUGUGCUGAUAUGUAUAGCUGCAAACGUAUAAGUAAUUACUAAAAUUUAAAAUGCAAAUACCAUUGUAGGGAAUGCUGCUGUCCAAGAGCUAAACCACUGGCGGGCAAUUUCAAGGCCCUUGCUCUCCCUUCCUAUGGUUCUUUAUUUUUAAUCAGGACUUGGAUAGGACAGCUGGUCUCUGUGAAGUGGAAUACAUGGCCACCAUAUUCCUCAGUUGCCAUGUUUGUACUUGGUGGUAGCCACUUGGGCUCUUAUUUCUAACCUUGCACUUACAUUGCUAAGAAAGCUCCCUGGCUGAGUAGUCCAUUAAUCCACCCGGUGCACCAGGUGGAGGAAGCAGUGUUCUUAUGAAACUGUGAAGUCUAGCAAAAUGUCCUCAAGGAUAAAUAGUGUUGUACAUCGUUUCUGAAACAGCACCUGCCGUUUCUGAUGCAUCAGCAUUUGCCUAAUCCACAGACCUUGGUAUUUUUGUUCUCUUCCAUUCUUUCCUUCUCUUACUUUCUGCUCACCUUCCUCCCUCCCCACCCUGUAUUAUAUGUGUCGCCACUUUGCAGCUUAAAAUGUAUGCCUUCAUCAUCAGCUUCUUUCUGUGAUCUCUUGAGAGUUUCAGAAUUGCCAUGGUUGUGGCUGUUUGUUUCUGCUGUUUUGUUCUCUUCAUUCACACCUGGGUUAAAGUAUUAGAUGUUAAACCAAAACAGUUACCCAAGAAACAAGAAGCUCCUUUAAGACGUUAGCACUGAAUUUUUUAUUUUUUAUUAGAGAAUGUAAGGCCACACAAGCAAGCAAUGAAGCGAUGUUUUAUGGGCAGCAUUCUUUCCACCAAAUUGAGCAUGAAUAUCUGCAUUCCUACACAUCCAAAGUGACACUUGUUUGUCUUGGUGAAAUUACGUUUACCCUGCUUGUCUGUCACAAGCUCAGAGCAGACAUCCAAGGUGUCUUCAGUUUUCGGAUAAAGCCAAGGUUUUACUGCCACCAGAGGAGACACAGAACAGGAUUUCUGACAGUUUACAUGGGAGUUUGAAUAGACAAUUAUGGAAGGGGAGUCCUUGAAGUUGGGGGGGGACUGCAGCCCUCUUGAUGUUGCUGAACACCAACUCCCAUCAGACCCAGCCAGUGGCCAAUUGUCAGCGCAGUGGGAGUUGUAGUCCAGCAACAUCUGGAGGUCCACAGGUCUCCCAACCCUUUUUUAAAGCAUCCUGUCCCCAGACCACUUAGGGCUUUAAAAGCUACCCCCCCAACAAAUUGGUAACCAGUGACAUUGAAACAAAACUGGAGCUGACGUAUUUGAUUCAAAACAUUCCAUAAUGUGUUUUCAUUAUCACUAAUUGUCUUCUGCCCAUUAUUCUCAGCCAUUCACACUAUUAGUGGAAUGGAAGCAACAUCAAAGGAGCAUUACUAAACUAUGUUGACACGCCAUUCUGAACCAAGAGAGAUUAGAGGAAGAGCCACAUACUUUAGGUUGGGCAGAAACUAUAUUCAAAAUACCUCAUGCCCACACUGUAAUGGUUUUAGGGAUAGGGAGCAGGUGUCAGGGUUGAGUUUUUAUUUCUGUCUUCUGGUUAAUGGGAAUAUUGAUUUGUUUGUUGUUACCAUCCUGCCAAAGUUUUCUAUUACUGUUAUGGGGGUGGGCUGUGUUAUAUGAUCCCCCUUUUUUCUGUUGUGUGUGUGUGUGCGUGUUCAGUCUAUUUCACUUGGGAACUUUUUGAGUUACAAGCAACUAAUAAGUUU
rnacentral:lncRNA from 1 species